AUUUCAACCCAUCUUCAAAAACAUCCUGGGAUAUGAGGAAAGUGGGCAUUAUUAUGAUACUCAUUUUAAAAAUAAAAAGUAUAGGGGAGUAAAUUAAAGCCCAGGGAAUAAUCUUAACUUCAGGAGUAACUAAGGCUAGGCAUCGAGAAGAACUUGCCCUCUGCAGGAAUUGUGAAACACUGGAAUUCACUACUCGGGGAAUGUGAGUCAAUCCAACUCGUCAUAGCUGAAAGAGGGCUUUGGAAAAACAAGGCCAUGGGGCUUCACUUGUCACAUCAUAUCAAAAUUGCUCUAGUACUUGUGUGUCUCCCCUGCUAGACCCUAAGCUUCCGCAGAGAGCUCAGAGUCUGUGGCAGUUCACUGUUACCGCCUCAGAGCUAACUAGAGGGCCUGAUGUUAAACAAUUACUCAAUAAAUAUGUGAUGAAGGAAGGGGGAAGGGGGAAAGGAAAAAAGGAAGGCAGGAAAGGCUGAAGAGGGUGUGAGCAGAGGCUGAGAAGAAACUAAAGGAAGGAGAAGAGAGCUAAGGGGCCCAGGAAUGGCACAGAAGCUACAGUAAACAUGAGGGAUAAAAAAGGCAGGCACUGGGGGGACACAGGAGCAAGAGAAUUAGGGACUGCCAGGACACCAGUGAAAACAGAAUGGAAGGAGGUCACAGAGAAAAAAGAAGGGUGUAGGGGAAUGUCUGGGCAAGAAACAUUCCCUUAUGGCCCCAGCAGUUGGUGCCUCCUAUUGGUGGUAGUUCCUUCUCCAGGAUCCUGUAAGCCAGGGGCUAUGUCAGGAGCUAAGGACAUGAUGGCCGAGAAGAACUAUGCACAGGACAAACAAGCAGGAGACGGGGUUCUGGGAGAGAAGGUGAGCUCACUUCUGCAGAUGACUCUGCUCACUGGCCACACCGUGCUCUAUAAACACCCUGCACCAUCUGUGAUGUCAGUCGCCAGCCGCCUGGAGAAUCUGCCCUGCUCUGGGAGCUUGUAUUAAAACACUCACUUAUAACUCCCUAUUAAUUUUUCACGAGGAGUUAUUUUUAACUCGCUCAAACCAUUGUCUGAAUAUGCCAAAUAUAUUUUCUUAAUGAACGAGCCCGGCGUGUGGUUUCUCCUUCCCCUCCUCUCCUGCUGCUAUUCAAAUGGUCCCUUCCUCACGGGGCACAGGGCUUGGAUGAACUAUUCACAGCAAUGCCCCAGAAAUGAGUAGUGGGGAACAGAGAAAACCAAGACACAAGGCCCACACUUUCCUCCCUACUCAGGCUUUGGUUUUGAAAGAACUUCAGGAAUUUCAGGAGACGUUUCCAGGUUUUUAAAAACAGAAAGAUCAAGUCAAAAUUGAAAACUCUUCUCUACAAAUUAUCCAAAGGGACCCUUGGGUUAUCGGAUCAAAUCAUCCCUCUACAAACCCAUCCAGACUCCUUUAUUUGCCAUAAUAUUACCAGUCCCAAUACUAUGAUUUCCUUGCAAGUAAGUGGGAUAGAUACACUGUCAAUUUUUAACUCAUGGACUUUUUCUAAACUAUAAAUCUGAUUGAGUUGUUCCCCCACUUAAAACCCUUCCAUGGUUCCCUUCUGCCAUCAGGAUAAAGACUAAAGUCCUUAGCCUAGCCCUUCCCAAUUUCUUCAUAAUUUCAUUCUGCUUAUUCCUCUAGCACCAUCCUCUUCCCAAGUCAUGCUCCUGCCAUGCAGUUC
rnacentral:lncRNA from 1 species